GAGUAAUUUAAUUAAUAACUGUACACGGCUUUAAACCACCGUCAAUGAAAAACGAUUCCGAGCCUCUGCUAUUAUGCGUCGUAUUUUCCCCUUGUUGCCAAGGUAACCCAGAUAUCAAAAAAAAACUAUACUGAAAAUUGCCAGUUUUCCCCAAUUAUUAAGAAAACUACAAGGAAAAUCGAAAAAUUGACCUCACCGGUAUACCGGCGACUAGAUUGUUUAAAGACACGGCAAACAA